rnacentral:rRNA from 1 species
UACGGAGGGUGCAAGCGUUGUCCGGAAUCACUGGGCGUAAAGGGCGCGUAGGCGGCUCAUGAAGGCUGUGGUGAAAGUCCGGGGCUCAACCUCGGAUCGGCCGUGGCGACUCGUGGGCUGGAGCACUGUAGAGGCGGGUGGAAUUCCGGGUGUAGCGGUGGAAUGCGUAGAUAUUCGCAAGAACACCGGUGGCGAAGGCGGCCAACUGGACCAUUACUGACGCUGAGGCGCGAAAGCGUGGGGAGCAAACAGG